rnacentral:rRNA from 1 species
GAUGAACGCUGACAGAAUGCUUAACACAUGCAAGUCUUUGGCGAAUCUGUGCUUGCACAGGCUAGCCAAGGCGGACGGGUGAGUAACGCGUAAAGAACUUGCCCUGCAGACAGGGAUAACAGACGGAAACGACUGAUAACACCUGAUACAGUUGCCGGCACGCAUGUGCCUGGCAAUGAAAAGAGAUGCUGCAGGAGAGCUUUGCGUCCUAUUAGCUUGUUGGUGAGGUGACGGCUCACCAAGGCGAUGAUAGGUAGCCGGCCUGAGAGGGUGAACGGCCACAAGGGGACAGAGAUACGGCCCUUACUCCUACGGGAGGCAGCAGUGGGGAAUAUUGGACAAUGGGGGCAACCCUGAUCCAGCAAUUCUGUGUGCACGAAGAAGGUUUUCGGAUUGUAAAGUGCUUUCAGCAGGGAAGAAGAAAGUGACGGUACCUGCAGAAGAAGCGACGGCUAAAUACGUG